UGUAAAUCAUGCAACUGGCGGAAAAUAUGAAUAAUCAUAUGGGGAGCAUGAUUGGUGAAAAAUUAUCGACCGCCUGGGUAGACUAU
rnacentral:ncRNA from 2 species